rnacentral:rRNA from 1 species
UUUUUCAUUGGAGAGUUUGAUCCUGGCUCAGGACGAACGCUGGCGGCGUGCUUAACACAUGCAAGUCGAACGGAAAGGCCCCUUUGGGGGUACUCGAGUGGCGAAAGGGUGAGGAACACGUGAGUAACCUGCCCUUGA